CUUCCCAAAGUGCUGGGAUUAUAGGUAUGAGCCACCGUGACUGGUCCUUAGCAUUCUAGAGCAUUCUAGUCCCCUCCACGUUGGACACUAUUGGAAAGACAUUGGGCGCUACCUAGCUACCUCUUUGUCCUGCUGACCCCACUGCAGGAGGUUUCUGGGAGCUCCAUCCAACCUGGUGUGUUCAUCCUGUGGAGGCUGCAGCAGAAGGUACUGGAGACACUGGUAGUAACAGCUCCAUUUUAAAGAGGAGGACACUGAAGCCCAGGCACUCUUUCAGUCCUGCCAUUUGCUGGGUCCUGAGUUCUUGUCCUGCGUCCAGGAAGAAUGAGGUACGAGGACAACUGGAGGGUGAGCAAGGUGAAGAGGUGCUUUAUUGAGCGACAGUACAGCUCUCAGGAGACCAGAAGUGGGUAGCGCCUAUCCACAGUUACACUCUGCAGCAGAGACGUUUGCCACUUCCCAGGAUGCAUGUGCACCCCCACAUCUCCCAGUCACCUGGGAGUUAGGCAGGGCCACGUGACGACUAUUCUUGGCCCGUGGACUCUGGGUGGAAGAUUUAAACGUCAGCGAGUGGCCCUCCAGCUCUGUCAUCUCCUGUUCAGUGACCAAGGAGUCCAGGCGUUCUGAGAGGGCAUUGCUUCCUGAUGGCUUGGGUCUGUGUCCCCGCCCAGAUCUCAUGUCAAGUUGUAAUCCCCAGUGCUGGAAGUGAGGCCUGGUGGAAGAUGAUUGGCUCAUGGGGGCGGAUUUCCCCCUUCUCUACUGUUCUCGUGAUAGAGUUCUCACGAGAGCUGGUUGUUUAAAGGGUGUGGCACCUCCCCCUGCCGCUUCCUCCUGCUCUGGCUACGUAAGACCUGCUUGUUUCCAGGCCGGGCGCGGUGGCUCAUGCCUGUAAUCCCAGCACUUUGGGAGGCUGAGGCAGGUGGAUCACUUGAUGUCAGGAGUUCGAGACCAGCCUGGCCAACAUGGUGAAACCCCGUCUCUACUAAAAAAAUACAAAAAUUAGCCAGGCACGGUGGCAUGCGCCUGUAAUCCCAGUUGCUCAGGAGGCUGAGGUGAGAGAAUAGCUUGAACUCAGGAGGCAGCAGUUACAGUGAGCCGAGAUCACGCCAUUGCACUCCAGCCUGGGACAAAGUGAGACUCUGUCUCAAAAUAAAAAAAAGAAAAAGAAAAAAAUGGCAUGCCUGUUUUCCCUUCACUUUCUGCCAUGAUUGAAAGUUUCCUGAGGCCUCUCCAGAAGCUGUCAUGCUUCCUGUAUGUCCUGUGGAACCAUGAGCCAAUUAAACCUCUUUUCCUUAUAAAUUACCCAGUCUCAGGACAUCUCCCUCUGCCCGAGUCUCUGAGUGAAGCAGAGCCUUCCGUCAGCCCAUGCUGGAUGCACAACAUUUGCUAUGUUAAACCUUUGAACUCUUGGGAUCAUUUUUUAUUUCAUUUUUUAGAGUUGGGGGUCUCACUCUGCUGUCCAGGCUGGAGUGCAUGGCUUGAUUAUAGCUUGCUGCGGCCUUGAACUCCUGGACUCAAGCAAUCCUCCCGCCUCAGCUUCCCAAUUAGGUGAGACUACAGGCAUGCACCACCAUGCCCUGCUAAUUUUUAAAUUGUUUUGUAGAGUCAGGCUCUUGCUGUUUUGCCUAGGCUGGAGUGAAGUGGUGUGAUCCACAGCUCACUGCACCCUCAAACUCCUGGUCUCAAGCAGCCCUCUCGCCAUGGCCUCCCCAAAUGUUGGGAUUAUAUUUAUGAGCCACCACACCUGGCUGGGGUCAGUGGUCUUUGUUGCAUUGACUAAACUUUCCUAAUAUAUAUAUACAUUUUUUUGACAGGAUCUCACUCUGUCGCCCAGGCUGGAGUGCAGUGGUGAGAUUUCAGCUCACUGCAACCUCCACCUCCUGGGCUUAAGUGAUCCUCGUACCUCAGCCUCCUAUGUAUGUGGGACUACAUGCAUGAGCCACCACACGUGGCUAAUUUUUGUACUUUUUGUAGAGUUGGGGUUUCGCCAUGUUGGCCAGGCUGGUUUCGAACUUCUGACCUGAAGUGAUCCGCCCGCCUCAGCCUCCCAAAGUGCUGGGAUUACAGGCAUGAGCCACCGUGCCUGGCCACUAAUAUACCUUCUAAACAGGGCAAGUGAUACUGAAUUCAUAUUUACAUAAUAACGCAAAAUUUACCAAAAAUAAACAUAAAGGGAGUUGGUUCAAAGAGAAAUAUCAGGUGCAUAAUUUGCUCGGUGAUACUUAGACAUGGUAAGAAUCCUGGGGGCAAAAAUCCAAAUGAUCAACCAAGAGCCAAAUGACCAGUGUUUUUGGAAAAUACUGCUCUUGUAUUCUCAUCUUGCGCUCUGCAGGGGAACACGGGCCUUUAUGGAAAUUGGCCAGAAAAUCAAUCUCUAUUAAUUCCCAUUUGUUCACUCUAUGUCCUGUGGCUUAAACAACAUCACCAAAAUCUUUACAUUAACGUUGAUUAGGUCAGAGAUUACAUUAAAAGAUCUGAAUUUUACAUUUGAUUUUAGAACCAAAUAGCUUGCCUUUGCUCAUAGUAUUCCCCAAACACUAAUCCAGGGUAUAACCUGGUGAGAAGGAGGGUUUUCAAGUCUUUCUGUUCUUAGGGUGCUAUUUAAAGGCAGAAGCAAAUGAUAAGUGACUCAGGAUUAGAAGCCACCCAGACACUGCAGCCAGUGGGGAAAGGAUGGAGUGUUGUUCCAGUCCAGGGCACCAAAAGCCGGGCACGUGCCGAUUAACGAGUAAUUGGGUCCUGGCAUGGUGAUUUGCAUGCUGGAAACUGCUGAAAUAUUCAUGUACUUGACUGUGUCUCUUCCAAUUAGAU
rnacentral:lncRNA from 1 species